AACCGGCGCACGGGUGCGUAACACGUAUGCAACCUACCUUUAACUGGGGUAUAGCUCAGAGAAAUCUGAAUUAAUCCCCCAUAAGACUACGACAUGGCAUCAUGAUGUAGUUAAAGCUCCGGCGGUUAAGGAUGGGCAUGCGGUACAUUAGCUAGUUGGUGAGGUAACGACUCACCAAGGCUACGAUGUAUAGGGGGUCUGAGAGGAUGAUCCCCCACACUGGUACUGAGACACGGACCAGACUCCUACGGGAGGCAGCAGUAGGGAAUAUUGGUCAAUGGACGCAAGUCUGAACCAGCCAUGCCGCGUGAAGGAUGAAGGCCCUAUGGGUCGUAAACUUCUUUUAUUAGGGAAGAAAAAAUGGGAUGCGUCCUAUACUGACGGUACUUAAUGAAUAAGGGUCGGCUAACUUCGUGCCAGCAGCCGCGGUAAGACGAAGGAUCCAAGCGUUGUCCGGAUUUACUGGGUUUAAAGGGUGCGUAGGCGGAAAAUUAAGUCAGUGGUGAAAGCCCGCAGCUCAACUGUGGAACUGCCAUUGAAACUGGUUUUCUUGAAUAUAGCUGAGGCAGAUGGAAUAUAACAUGUAGCGGUGAAAUGCUUAGAUAUGUUAUAGAACACCGAUUGCGAAGGCAGUCUGCUAAACUAUUAUUGACGCUGAGGCACGAAAGCGUGGGGAGCGAACAGGAUUAGAUACCCUGGUAGUCCACGCCCUAAACGUUGAUUACUCGCUGUUGGCGAUAUACUGUCAGUGGCUAAGCGAAAGCAUUAAGUAAUCCACCUGGGAAGUACGACCGCGAGGUUGAAACUCAAAGGAAUUGACGGGGGCCCACACAAGCGGAGGAGCAUGUGGUUUAAUUCGAUGAUACGCGAGAAACCUUACCUGGGCUUAAAUG
rnacentral:rRNA from 1 species